GGCUCCCUACUAAGCGGGGAGCCCCAUGUGGGACUCGAUCCCACACAUGACCUGAGCCAAAAGCUGAUGCAUAACCUAUGGAGCCACCCAGCCACGCCCCCUUCCUGCUACUCCUGGAUGUCACAGUUCACUCCUGUAUUCACGUGCUCAUUCUGAGGAGAUUCCAGGGCCAGCGCUCAUGGAGACAGCCACUACUGGAUUGAGCCAUGGGAGGUUGCCAUUGUUUUUUGGUGCUUUCUAGUGCCUCUUUACACCAUAGGAUGUUGGAGAAUGUUAGAAUAUUUUGGUCCACUGAGGCCAAUUUGGUGUGUGCAGCAGAAGGCCUGUGAUGUUCAUGAGCCAAGAAGUCUGAAGAAAUGGGUCUGUGGACACAGGAAGAUGCAGCCUCAUAAGAAUCCUGUACCGGCGCCCCAAACACAUGGUCUCGAGCCGCGGAGUCAAUGGAGCAGAAGUCUGCAAGUCUCAAGAAGAUAGGGACCAUAGCUGCCGUACCAACUACCAUAUAAUCUGGACCAGGUGCAAGAAGCCCAGUGGUUUCUAAUUCCCCACUAGAGACACCAGUGGUUCCAGGUUCCACUCUAGAUGGGACGUAUGACUGGGAUUCCAAGGAAGGCCAAGUGGAGAAACUGGGUGACUCCGUGUUGCUGGAUCAAGCCAUGACUGAAGACAGUGCUACCUUCAGGCUUUUUACUUUCCCUAACACAUGGAAACCCUGCUCUGUGGAGCGGCUGCAGUGUGGUGGUUAAAGCAUGGACACCAGAGCUAGAUUGCCUGCCUUCAUAUCCUGGCUCCCCUACUGUUCGGCUGUUUGACUUUGAGUUGACUUAAAGGACAUUACCCUUGGGCGAGUUCCUUCCUAGUUACAAUGAGGACAUUAAUACAGGACAUCACAAUCAGAUGCCUAAUGAUUUUUUGAAGAUGUAGACUAACUCCUUUCAUGGUGGUUACAUGCAGGUGCGUGAACCAGCCGAAACACUCACAUUUGCGCAGUUGGCCUUUGGACUCCACUGGGAUCCAAGAAGGAAGGCUGAUGAUCUGGUAAACUAAUUCACUCAUAAGGUGAGGGCCAUGCUGUGCCCACAGGUGGCAUGUCAGCCAGUGAUAGCUUGCAAUAGAAAGAAUUUGGAGUCUGCACCUCAGAUGAUAGCGUGUAGGUGACUGCCUACCACAUCUAUGUGUGCUGAUUGAGAAAAUAACAUGAACAACAUAAAAUGGUAGAUCAUUUAGUUUCCACUGCCAUGGAUUCAAAGGGAAAGAGCUGGGUAGGCGAGGACUUCAGAUACAAUAAUUGUCCCCAUUUUCAGGAGGGGAAGUUUGGGGUCCUUCUAUCUCCUCAGAACUCUGAACAGGAGAGGUAUGGCAUAACUCUCAAGUCCCUGUAGACAACAGUAAAGGGAAGGAACAGAUUAUUCUGAACUAAAUUGAGUGAAUUUUUCUAUUACUUUCUAAUUAUUUUAAUAGGGCAAUAGGCAACCAUAAGGACAGAAUUUGAAAUCAGAAUUUU